rnacentral:rRNA from 1 species
AUGAAAAUUUUCAACCAAGCUCUUCUUGCCAGGCAAGGUUGGCGCCUCCUCCAACGGCCAGAUAGCCUAUGUGCCCGUGUCCUAAAAUCAAAAUACUAUCCUAAAGGUAAGCUUCUGGACACAGUGUUUGCGUCAGAUGCCUCUCAGGCAUGGAGAGGAAUUGAACAUGGGCUGGAGCUAUUGAAAAAAGGACUGAUAUGGAGAGUUCGAAAUGGGAAACAAAUCCAAAUCCAAAGAGACCAAUGGGUCCCUAGAAAGAGCGGCCUCAAGGUUACUGAAUUUAAGAGGAGGUCAAGAUUGAGAUGGGUGAAUCAACUCAUGAAACAUGAUGCCAAAGAAUGGGAUGAGGCCCUGAUACACCAACUUUUUCACAGUUUCGAUGCAGAGGAAAUAUGUAAGAUCAAAAUUCCAAGGAGGGAUGUCGACGACUGUGUUGCAUGGCACGGCGAAAAAUCUGGAAUAUUCUCUGUGCGGAGUGCAUAUAAGUUGGGAACUCAGCUCAAACAACAGGCCAUACCACCAGCCUCUAGUUCUGGUGCUGAAGCUGAUAACAGAUGCAUAUGGGAUUACAUUUGGAAGGCAAAAGUCCCAGAGAAGGUUAGGAUUUUUGCUUGGCGAGUAGCCACAGAAACUCUUCCCACAAAGGAAAACAAGUGGAAAAGAACCCUGGAAAUUGAUAACAUAUGCAACAUAUGUGGGAGCAAGACUGAAAAUGAAUUCCAUGCGGUGAUUGAAUGCACAAAAGCAAGAGCGCUUAGGCAUGAAAUGAGGUCAGUCUGGGAACUACCUUCAGAAGACAGUUUUCGUUUUACAGGAAAUGAUUGGCUACAAAACCUCCUGGGCUCAUGUACCCCUGUAGUAUGCAGAAAUGUCCUCCUGCUGUUAUGGCGAGCAUGGUGGCUAAGGGAUGACUGCAUCCAUGCAAAAGGCAGGGCAAUGGUGGGUCAGUCAGUCCAAUUCUUGGUUAAAUAUGCGGAUGAAAUCAGUCUAGGAGAAAGAUGA